rnacentral:rRNA from 1 species
AGAGUUUGAUCCUGGCUCAGGAUGAACCCUGGCAGCGUGCUUAACACAUGCAAGUCGAACGAAGCACUUUAUUUGAUUUCCUUCGGGACUGAUUAUUUUGUGACUGAGUGGCGGACGGGUGAGUAACGCGUGGGUAACCUGCCUUGUACAGGGGGAUAACAGUUGGAAACGGCUGCUAAUACCGCAUAAGCGCACAGCAUCGCAUGAUGCUGUGUGAAAAACUCCGGUGGUAUAAGAUGGACCCGCGUUGGAUUAGCUAGUUGGUGAGGUAACGGCCCACCAAGGCGACGAUCCAUAGCCGACCUGAGAGGGUGACCGGCCACAUUGGGACUGAGACACGGCCCAAACUCCUACGGGAGGCAGCAGUGGGGAAUAUUGCACAAUGGGCGAAAGCCUGAUGCAGCGACGCCGCGUGAGCGAAGAAGUAUUUCGGUAUGUAAAGCUCUAUCAGCAGGGAAGAUAAUGACGGUACCUGACUAAGAAGCACCGGCUAAAUACGUGCCAGCAGCCGCGGUAAUACGUAUGGUGCAAGCGUUAUCCGGAUUUACUGGGUGUAAAGGGAGCGCAGGCGGUGCGGCAAGUCUGAUGUGAAAGCCCGGGGCUCAACCCCGGUACUGCAUUGGAAACUGUCGUACUAGAGUGUCGGAGGGGUAAGCGGAAUUCCUAGUGUAGCGGUGAAAUGCGUAGAUAUUAGGAGGAACACCAGUGGCGAAGGCGGCUUACUGGACGAUAACUGACGCUGAGGCUCGAAAGCGUGGGGAGCAAACAGGAUUAGAUACCCUGGUAGUCCACGCCGUAAACG